rnacentral:rRNA from 1 species
UACGAAGGGGGCAAGCGUUGUUCGGAAUUACUGGGCGUAAAGGGCGCGUAGGCGGUCAGCACAAGUCAGUUGUGAAAUCUCCGAGCUUAACUCGGAAAGGUCAACUGAUACUGUGCGACUAGAGUGCGGAAGGGGCAACUGGAAUUCUUGGUGUAGCGGUGAAAUGCGUAGAUAUCAAGAGGAACACCUGCGGCGAAGGCGGGUUGCUGGGCCGACACUGACGCUGAGGCGCGAAAGCUAGGGGAGCGAACGGG